UCCCAAACUGUAUGUUUGGGAGUCAAGGAGGAUCUCAAAUCAGUGUUGAGGCCAGCUGAGGCUACAUAGCAAGUUCCAGGCCAGCAUGAGCUACAUUGCAGACCCUAUUGAGAGGACUGACCCUCACAGAAAAUGUGAGGGGUCCAGAGUACACAGCCCCCAGGUUCUUCUGGCCCUCAGGUGAAAUGGAAAGGCUGGCUUCCUUGCUAGGUGUCUGGAGCUCUCUGGAGGUGUCAGUGCAAGAGGGAGACUACCAGCCCAGAGCUCAGCUUGAGGACUGAGUGAGCUGCCAGCCGACAACCUCAGCAAAUCCAUCUCCUUGGAAUACUUCAUCCCUACCCGACCCCCUCCACCCUUUGGCGACUUGUCAUAGCCCUGAGAACCUUCGAAUGAGGUGCCAACUACACAGCUGCAAGAUUCCCACAGCUAAUUGUUGAUUUCUGCCACGCAGGCUUCAGCCUCCCUGUGAAUCUUGCUUCUCUAUCUGCUUCAGGACCUGAGUUAGAUGGGGAAAGCCUAGGAUUGUCAGAGCUGGGCCAGGUCAGCCUGGACCCAAGGCAUACUAGCCCAAGGGUGGGCAGGCUGGUCUGAUGGGCAAGGGGUUUGAACAGGGUAGGGCUGCAUAGGGCACCCCCC
rnacentral:lncRNA from 1 species